AAUUUACCAAAUUUAGAAAGCAAUGAGAGCUCCAAGAACCAAAAGCGAAAUGGAAAACAAACCCAUGUUUCCUCCAAUCCCAGUCCUCAAAGACCCACUACCGCCGCCAGUGGUGUUAGUGGUGGAGCCACCGCCCGUGGUGGUGUUGGUAGUGGAAUUAGCUACCAAGGGCAAGGUCUCAUAGGACCUGAGAUUGGCGGGGGAGAAGUCAUGCUUUUCAGGGAAACCGGUGGUGGUGUUGACUCCGGGGCCCACCUGCCAGACGUGGUUGACGGACACCGCGUCUUUUUUGACCUUGACGGUGGCGAAGAUCAUGAAGGUGCCGCUGGAGAACUCGGCGCUGACGUCCCAGACGUCGAACGAGAGCUUUCCGGGAAUGAUGGAGGCGUAGGAG
rnacentral:lncRNA from 1 species